AUUAUUUUCUUAUGGGCAUCCUAUUUGAGACUUUCUGUAUAGCUUGAUUAAAGCCUCAAUUCUUACAAUAUCCAACCUAACCAAUGUUGAUAACAAACAAUUUGUUUGAUUCUCAGACUUCUUAAAGGUCAUGUGGAUUGAGCUUACUUUGAUACCAGAUGCGUUCUAACUCAUUUGUUGGGAGACUUCAGGCAAUCUCAAGCUGCUUGUUGACGAUUCCGUUAUAAACCCAAGUCAGGUUGUCCUCAGAGACUGACUUGUUUGUUAGGAAUGGGGCAAGAUCCCUGAAAAAAAGCACACACACACAAAAAGAAAGGGGGGCCAAAUCAACCUGAUUCAAUAACCUUACAGAUGCUUUGAAAAUGAUCUGAACCUGACCGCAUUACUAAUUAGAUCUAUUCUGAGCCAAACCUGAUCCAUUGACAAGCCCAGCUGCAACCUAGUUAGGGUUAUCAAGUCCAGGUCACUUACAGUUCGCUGAGAGUACUUAGUGACGUAACAGCGGAUGAGCGCAUUUACGGCAGGAGCGAAGGGGACCAAGCAAUCGAGCGAGCAGCCAAGCAAGAAGGGGUGGAGGCAAUGAGCUUCCCCUUGUCUCGCUGCCACCGCUCACCCCAACCCCCCUUGCCCUUCCGACCUCCGCCGAUAACAACUAAGAGAACGCCGACUUCUCCAUUCCACCGCCCAAAGGCGGUCGCCUCCGUCUCCUCCUCCUCCUCCGAUAAAUCCUGGCGAUGCCUCCAUAAGCUACUUCUCCAAGCGACGGCCGGAGCCCUCUCCUUCUCUCUCCUCGCUUCUCCUUUCCGUUCCCUCGCGGAGGCGGCGGGUCCCCCAGCUGUCCAGAUCCCGCCGCCACCGUCGGAACUCUGCCACGACUGGGCGGAGGAGGAGGAGGUGCCACCGGAGUCGAUCACGAACGAGGCCCUCGUGGAGGAGGCCUGGGAUGUCGUCAACGAGAGCUUCCUCGGCGACGCCGUCAGCCGUUCCUGGUCUCCCGAGAAAUGGCUGAAAAAAAAGCAAGAUUUUCUGCACAAAAGUAUCCAAACAAGAUCUAGAGCGCACAAUGUCAUUCAAAAGAUGCUGGCCAGCCUAGGUGACCCAUAUACACGGUUCCUUUCUCCUUCAGAAUUCUCAAAGAUGUCCAAGUAUGAUGUUACUGGGAUUGGAAUAAAUCUGAGGGAAGUUCCUGAUGACAAUGGUGCUGUCAAAUUGAAGGUGUUAGGGAUCAUAUUAGAUGGUCCUGCUCAUUCUGCUGGCGUGAGACAGGGGGAUGAGCUCUUAUCAGUUAAUGGUGUGAAUGUAAGAGGAAGAUCAGCAUUUGAUGUAUCCUCAAUGCUACAGGGUCCAAAGGAAACAUUUGUGACUAUAGAGGUUAAACAUGGAAACUGUGGCCCAAUCCAGUCAAUAAAGGUCCAGAGGCAACUUGUUGCUAGGACUCCAGUAUUCUAUCGUCUGGAGAAAAUGGAAAAUGGCGAUGUUUCAGUUGGAUAUAUACACAUAAAAGAGUUUAAUGCAUUGGCAAAAAGAGAUUUGGUUAUUGCACUGAAACAUCUUCUUGAUUCUGGUGCCUCUUAUGUUGUUUUGGAUCUUAGGGAUAAUCUUGGUGGACUAGUGCAGGCUGGGAUUGAAGUUGCUAAGCUUUUCUUGAAGAAAGGAGAAACAGUCACUUAUACUGUUGGCAGGGAUCCCCACAUUCAAAAAAGUAUUGUUGCGGAUGCUGCACCUUUUGCUACCACUCCUCUUAUUUUUGUAGUGCAGGUCCUUGUGAAUAAGAGGACUGCAAGCGCAAGCGAAAUAGUUGCCACAGCACUUCAUGAUAACUGCAAAGCAGUUCUAGUGGGAGAAAGGACUUACGGCAAGGGUCUAAUACAAUCUGUUUUUGAGCUUCACGAUGGAUCUGGUGUGGUUGUCACUAUAGGGAAGUAUGUGACACCAAAUCACAUGGACAUCAAUGGAAAUGGAGUAGAACCUGAUUUUCCACGCCUCCCAGCUCUGAGUGAAGUCAGAAAUUAUCUUUCACAUUGCCAAACUCCGUUGAUGGGAUAAAUACAGGCGCUCAUGUGACUCCAUGUCUCUCCACAAGUCAAAUUUAUAACAUGAGUGGGGUGCAUAUGCUAUUUGAAUUCAAACAAUUAUAGGAAAUUGUAUGCACAUCUAUUGGGCAGAGAAAACCAGUCACUUGAGAUUGUGAGAGUAUCACAAAAAAAGUGAGGAUCCAUCCAUUUCCUCAUCCAGGUGCAUUGUUUGGAUACAGCUACUCUGGUUGGCCACAACUGACAAGUCUCUCAGCAACGUUUGAAUCUGAGAUGAGAGUGGUCGUCGUAGCAGCUUCUUGUUUGCUAUCAGAUGCUGCAAAUGUGUUAUAGCUGCAAUUUUCAAGCCGCACCGUAAAUACGCUCGAGGGCCGUAAGCCGUGGAUGCGCUCUUUCCAGUUCCUGUGUAUUGUUUGAGCACAGUUUGCUUUACAGUAAGAAAUCACAGGAGUAUCUGUUGGGCCCCAACAUUAUAAAUUUUCAGGCUUUGGCGAUCAUUUUCUGGAUGCAGAUCAUUCUUCAAGUUUGUUUGUUUCGAUGUAAUGACAUUCAAAUUAGUUGAUUGAUUUGGAAUAAAGGGAAGUUCCCCUUACACCCUUU